GGGGCGGGGCGCCGCAGUGCCGUAGUAGCGGGCAACUGGGACGCACUGCUUUGGAGCCGCGGAUACGCGAGCAGGCGCAGGACCCGGCGCUGCUUAGCCCCCGUCCCGCCGCCCCAGCCCCGCGGCGCCCGCUCUGGCCGUCCCCCUCCCCGAGAGGGCUGCACUGGCGGGAAGGCGCCCAGACCACAGCCCCGGCCCCCCUUCCUGCCUCUCGGUUCCUCUUUCCUCCCAAGUAAGGGAAUAAGCCCCGAGGAAGGAGCGCCCCGGGGAACCGCGCAACCAAGUGUUGCAUGGUGAGGAGGAGCAAGGAUUUCUGAAGACCUUGACUACGGAUAGAAGCAUGCUGUUGGAAGAGUAGCACAGGCCUUCUCUCAUCUGCUCAAACGUGCCCACUACUGCCAUAGACACGUGCAUCCUCCGUGGUUCCUGAAGGGCCUGUCCACCGUGUACCUGCAGUGAACCAGGCCCUGGGCUGGGCCUCAGCUUCACCCUGGUGAACAAAACUCCAUCCCUGGCCUCAAGCACUCACACCCAGGUUAAAGAUGAGUGAAGAACGGUGGGUCUCCCUUACUCCAGAAGAAUUUGACCAACUCCAGAAAUACUCAGAAUAUUCUUCCAAGAAGAUAAAGGAUGUCUUGGCUGAGUUUAAUGAGGGUGGGAGCCUCAAACAAUAUGAUCCACAUGAGCCAAUUAGCUAUGAUGUCUUCAAGCUGUUCAUGAGGGCAUACCUGGAGGUGGACCUUCCUCAGCCACUGAGCACGCACCUCUUCCUGGCCUUCAGCCAGAAGCCCAGACAGGAGACCCCUGACCACCCAACGGAGGGGGCCAGCAAUGAGGCCAGUGGCCCAGAUGCCAGCAUACAGAAUGUGGAUAAUGGUGCCAAAGCAGAUGAGGCGUGUGCCCCUGAUACAGAAUCAAAGAUCACCGAGAAGCAGGUGCCAGCAAAAGACCAAGUGGCUGCAACCCUCCUGGGAAAUCCUGUUGUUCCAUCUCCAGGCUCCGAAUCCCCUAUAGUGUACCUGAAGGAUGUCGUGUGUUACCUGUCCCUGCUAGAGACGGGGAGACCUCAGGAUAAGCUGGAAUUCAUGUUUCGUCUCUAUGAUUCAGAUGAGAACGGUCUCCUGGACCAGACGGAGAUGGAUUGUAUUGUCAACCAGAUGCUUCACGUUGCCCAGUAUCUGGAGUGGGAUCCUACGGAGCUGAGGCCUAUACUGAAGGAGAUGUUGCAAGGAAUGGACUACGACCGGGACGGCUUUGUGUCUCUAGAGGAAUGGGUCCACGGAGGGAUGACCACCAUCCCACUGCUGGUCCUGCUGGGCAUGGAUGACUCUGGCUCCAAGGGGGACGGGAGACAUGCCUGGACCAUGAAACACUUCAAGAAACCCACCUACUGCAACUUCUGCCACAUCAUGCUGAUGGGCGUUCGGAAGCAAGGCCUGUGCUGUGUUUAUUGUAAAUACACUGUCCACGAACGCUGUGUAUCCAAAAACAUUCCUGGAUGUGUCAAAACAUACUCAAAAACCAAAAAGGGCGGUGAGGUGAUGCAGCACGCGUGGGUGGAAGGGAACUCUUCUGUCAAGUGUGACCGGUGCCACAAAAGUAUCAAGUGCUACCAGAGCGUCACCGCGCGGCACUGCGUGUGGUGCCGGAUGACGUUUCACCGCAAAUGUGAAUUAUCAACGUUGUGUGAUGGUGGGGAACUGAGAGACCAUAUUUUGCUGCCCACUUCAAUAUGCCCUGUCACCCGGGACAGGCAAGGUGGGAAGUCUGAUGGCAGCGUGUCAGCCAAGGGUGAACUUGUGAUGCAGUAUAAGAUCAUCCCCACCCCGGGUACCCACCCCCUGCUGGUCUUGGUGAACCCCAAGAGUGGAGGGAGACAAGGAGAAAGAAUCCUUCGGAAAUUCCACUAUCUGCUCAACCCCAAACAAGUUUUCAACCUGGACAAUGGGGGGCCCACUCCAGGGUUGAACUUUUUCCGUGAUACUCCAGACUUCCGUGUUUUAGCCUGCGGAGGAGAUGGGACAGUUGGCUGGAUUCUGGAUUGCAUUGAUAAGGCCAACUUCGCAAAGCAUCCACCGGUGGCUGUCCUGCCUCUUGGAACAGGAAAUGACCUGGCCCGCUGUCUCCGCUGGGGAGGAGGUUAUGAAGGGGGCAGCUUGACAAAAAUCCUGAAGGACAUCGAGCAGAGCCCCUUGGUGAUGCUAGACCGCUGGCAUCUGGAAGUCAGCCCCAGAGAAGAGGUGGAGAAUGGGGACCAGGUCCCGUACAACAUCAUGAACAACUAUUUCUCCAUUGGUGUGGAUGCUUCCAUUGCACACAGAUUCCACGUGAUGAGAGAGAAGCACCCUGAAAAAUUCAACAGCAGGAUGAAGAACAAACUGUGGUACUUUGAAUUUGGCACCUCUGAGACCUUUGCGGCCACCUGCAAGAAGCUGCAUGACCACAUAGAGUUGGAGUGUGACGGGGUUGGGGUAGACCUGAGCAACAUCUUCCUUGAGGGCAUUGCCAUUCUCAACAUUCCCAGCAUGUACGGAGGCACCAAUCUCUGGGGAGAAACCAAGAAGAACCGGGCUGUGAUACGGGAAAGCAGGAAAGUCGUCACUGACCCCAAGGAACUGAAAUUCUGCAUCCAAGACCUCAGUGACCAGCUCCUCGAAGUGGUGGGGCUAGAGGGAGCCAUGGAGAUGGGGCAGAUCUACACUGGCCUGAAGAGUGCGGGCAGGAGGCUGGCCCAGUGCUCCUCUGUCACCAUCAGGACAAACAAGUUGCUGCCAAUGCAAGUGGAUGGAGAGCCCUGGAUGCAGCCACCUUGCACAAUUAAAAUUACUCACAAGAAUCAAGCACCUAUGAUGAUGGGGCCUCCCCAGAAGAGCAGCUUCUUUUCACUGAGGAGGAAGAGCCGUUCAAAAGACUAAACAACGUGCCAAAUGCCAGUUAAACCAAGAGAGAAAAUAAGAAACUGUAACACACACACACACACACACACACGCACGCACGCACGCACAGGCACACACGCACACUCAUCUCUAACCAGUGGAAGCAAAGCCACCCUUCAGGAAGAAAUCUUCAUCUUCCCGUACGUUCAUUCUCUCUUCUUCAACAAAGAACACACCCCAACAGAGCCAGGACCCCCAGAAAAUUUUGAAUGGACCCAGGGCCCACCAGGGUGAUGUUGGCUCUUGCAGCAACCUCACAUUCCCAGAAGGCCUUGAGUGGGACUUUCUGAGACUGAAGGAGAAGUCCCCCUUUCUUCCCACCAGUCUUGCAAGGUCCCUCACGGACGCUCACAAGGAAGCAGGCUGCAGGUUUCCUGCCUAUGGUGAGAUCGGAUGUGGCCAAGGGAAAGCGCUCCCAUUCCAGAGAACUUACACAAAGGUCCCUCUGUACAGAGACAAACGGCCUCCAACUCUCAAAGCAUAACCCUUGGCAGGGCUCAGCAAGUGCACGUUGGUUUCUUAGUUGUCCUUCAAGCAGCAACUUCUGCCUGAACUUGCUGAGGAGGCAGAAAGGCUGUGGAAAGCUGUGUUUCCAUUCUUGGUUCUCCACACUGUCAGUGGGCACUUGUUAUUUUCCCAAAGCCUUCUCCUGGUGGCUGUGUGUUUGUUUGGAGACGGCUCCAAGAGCCCCCAGAGCUGCCUGUACAGCACACCUUAGAUGUGGUAUUUAUUUUCUUAGUUCUGUGAACACCUGGGAGGGAAAGCAGAGAAACUGGGAUUUAUUUUUCAAAUUGGUGUCAUAAUAUUGUGUAAAAAGGGAAGAAAAAAAACCACCCCCAGCUUCUUUCUUUUUCAAGCCAAAGCGUGUUUCCUGUUUGAGUUCCAAGCCCUGGUGGCAGACUAUUUCCUGAAGGCAGAGAAGAUGAGAAGGAAGGACCAGGAGAAGACCUGGAGACAAACCAUCAGGUGGCUCCCACCUGCGUCUUUGCACCUACCACUCCCAGAGUGUGAGCUGAAGGCCCUUCUGAUGAUCUAAUGUGUGUGUACAUAUAUGUAGCAUAUAUAUUUAUAUAUAUAUAUAUAAAUAUUUAUUUACUGAUGGACUUCUCCUGACUGAAAAAAAAAAUAUGUAGAAUAGGAACAGAAAAGUGGGAAGGAAAAAGAAAGUUUUCACUCCCCCAUUCCACCAUUUCAUGGUCAAGACACAUUUCCCCAUGGUGAUCAUGAGAUUUAAGGGAAGUGAAAGUAGCUUCUUAUUGUAAAGAGACUGAGAAUUCCUAUUCUGGAUUCUCAAAACAACCAUGAAAGAUACGCUGGACAGAAUUUACUCUCCCAUUUGUCAGAUAAAGGCACCGAGUCUCUGAAAAGUUAAGAGACUUGUCUGUGGUAUCUUAGCUAAUGUGGUUUGAGAAUAAGUGCCACUAAGAGGAUAUUUAUUAGGGAAAAGAACCCACACGUCUUAGAAUAGGGUCAUUUCUGGUCACUGGGAAAUGAUUCCAUUCGAGUCCAGGUUGCCAGGGAAGAAGGAACAUGUAGCCCGUGUGAGGACGGGACAGGCCCACAUGAGAACAUAGGGGCCUUGUGAUGCUUCCCGGAGAUUCUGUCUGGCCUGAACUGGUAAGAAGUUGGUCUGGGUUGAAGGCACUAGACAGAUCAUCAAAUUAAACUCUAUCACGUGUCAACUCAUCAUGGUCCUCAUGGCCUCCUAGUCUGGAAACACCUCUGGCUGCAGGGAUGACCUCAGUGGAGACUCACAAGAUGGACUGAGGCACCUUCUUCAAGGUGCUCCCAGCCAGUACCCAGAGGGGUCUUGGCAGAGGCCAAUGGGCUUCCUGCAGCUGGUGCCGGCAUCACCCUCCUUUCCUGAGGGCAAGUCUGUAUAGAACUUCAUUACUAGACAGAAACAUUUGCCUUGGCGCCUUCACUCCACUGGACCGCCAUCCCUUCUGAGAUUUCUUAAGAGGAAACGUGGGCCCACUAGACAUUGCUCCACUGAGCUCUGUCUAAUCUUGCACUGUGUCAGGAGCUUUGCACAAGGAAGGGAAAUUAAGACUGUGUGUACACACUGAUCCUAACUGUGAAGGAAGCAGUCAUCUAGGACCAUCCUGCUGGACCUAAUAGUGCAAAACAGUGGGUGAGGGGAAAACCAGGCCGUCUGGAGAAUGUCUUGAAUGAUGGGAUCCUUGGUGAUGGGAUGGACCAGCAAGCUCCAGAAUAACAACAGGUACUAUCUUGGAAGCCACUUGAUUUCGAAACAAAGGCAGGUGUGGGCUCACUAAUUCUGAGACAUUUACAGACAUUUUUGCAUGUCUGAUCCCCCAAGAUUGAGGCUGUCGAAACAUAGCACUGUCAACAGGUGGAACUGAGUCUCAGUGAUUCACAAGUCAGAGUGGCCGUGGCCUGCUCUAGUCCAGUGCAUAAGACUUGCAGUGUUGCUUGAGAGACAUGUCCCAAGGCCUCCUUAGAACCACACAGUAUAAUACACCAGUGGAAUUGCACUUCCAGCUUGGUGAAUGGGAUGCACUUCUCGGGGCUACCUAAUAGAUUUUCUACCCAACUCUGUGAGUGGGAGAGCAGCAAGCUGUCUUCUCAGACAUAAAUGCCAUGGUCAACGGUGACUGGCCUGCACAAGGAAGGAGGGCUGGGGUUGUUGAAGGGAGCCUCCAGCAAGAAGGCUCUGCAUGUGAUCCUCAUUAGUGAUAGGCGUGGGCUGGGCCAUCUGUAUUCCACAGGAGAACAGAAUGGCAGGCUGCCUUUCAGAUGCCAAGAGAAGCUAUCUAAUGGGAAGAUCCAGAGAGCUCAAAAAGCAGACAGGCAUCUUUCCUCAAGGGGAUCUCUGUAGGAAUCCAGGGACAUAGAAAACCAAGGGUUUUUGGAAAUAAGCUGCUUAACUUGCUGGGUACCUACCCUGGCUACCACUUUAUUCUUCAUGUCCAUGGUGCAGAAUGGCAAGCCAAGCCCUGCAGCCUCAUCUGCUAGCUAAAUUCCCUUCGAUGGAGCCCACGGUGAACCUACGUUAUCCUAAAAUCUGUGGAUGCUGUGGCAGGUGCAUCAUAGCAAGGCACCAGGGUUUGCAGUUAAGCCUUCAAGUCUCCCAAGGGUCAGGAAACACUGUAACCAGGAGAGACCAUAUGAUUGGAUGUUCCAUGCAGAUCCUAGAGAAAUAAUCAGAAAACAUGAGGACAACUGUAAAUUGGUCAAGUUAGGAAAAUGCAAUUUGGAAGCAAAGAAGAGAACAUAUAAUGCAAUGUCAAGCACAUAGUAGGUAAUGAGUAAAUAUUUGUUAAAUGAAUGAAUAGCUAAAGUGGGUAUCUGUCCCUGUAUCCUGGAAUGGAUAGGGGAAGGGGGGGUAGAGGUGAUGAAAGCUUUUUAACUAACAGCUCAGGAACUUGAAACCACAGGAUGUAGAGGGAGCUCAUGGGGGCCUCUAACUACCCAGACAUCUGUUGAAUGAUGGACACAGCUAAAUAUGGAUCAUCAAAGGGCUUUCUAGGUCACAUGGAGGGCAGUUUCAUGAUUCAGAAAAUAUGAAAUUCAACUUGGACAGAAAGACAGAAAUAUUUGCAAUCUACUUCUUAGCCAUCAGGUCAGAAUGGACAAAGAAUAAAAAGGUAGCACAGAAGCGGAGUUACAACACAGUGAGAGAUCAGCAUAAUAAGGUACAGAUUCAGAAGAUGAAAAGACAUGGAGAACUGGGUUUUUUAGCAGAUAUUUGGGCAAGGAAGCUGAGCACUAUAGUUCAAAAUGAAAGAAAGGACUGACAAAUCCUUUAAAAAAAAAAAAAGCAGCUUAAAGCUGAGUUAAUGGUAAUAUGUGGGACAUGUCCAGGCAUUAAUGAAACUCUUAUUAAAUAACUAUCAUUUAUUGUGCAGUCCAAAGCCUAUUACUUUUAUGACCACUGCUAAACUUCACAGGAACUCUCCUGAAGUGGGUGGUAUACAGCUCCCUACUUGACAAACAAGGACUGAGACACGGAGCAGAUCUCAUAGCAGCAGAUCCAGGAUUCGGAUCUGUCAGUAUCUGCCUUCAAAGCCAUGUUUGCACCUCACUGCCACUGCUGAUGACUCUGAGCUUCAAGCGUAGUGGCAGGGAUUCACCACCCCAAACCGAUCCCUUGUGCACGACUCAGCGGACUUCCUUCUCAACCUGGAAAUCUGAGUCCACGAAGCUGGGGUGGGAAACAGCACUCACUUGGCCAGCCACAGAGGCUCAUUGAGAAGGAGUGGACCUGGGCUGUGGAAGGUGUGUGCAUACUUCACCCUCCCUUCUUCUUAGGCCCUCUCUCCAACGCGCCAGCUGGGCCGUGUCCUAGGACCUUACUCAGACAGCAUCCAGCCAACAAUGAACAGCUGGUAAAGAACUCACCAGAUCAGGGUGUUCACAUAAUAUGAAAGAUCAUCUGAAAAGAUACACAGAGACCAUAUUAAAGAUCAGGAGCAAGUGAAAUGAGGUCAGGUGGUCAAGCCUCAGAAUUUAGCAACUGAUACCUAAAGGUGGAAAAGAGAUCCAAAAUGUCCUUUUAAAAAUCUGUUGGAUGAAUCAUAAUUUGGAGUAAAAAGACUGCUUCUGGAAUGAUG